GACGAACGCUGGCGGCGUGCUUAACACAUGCAAGUCGAACGGAAAGGCCCGUUUUGGGGUAUUCGUGUGGGGAACGCGUGAGUAACACGUGAGUAAACUGCCUUUGUCUUCUGGAUAACUUCAGGAAACUGGCGCUAAUACCGGAUAGGAAUUCUCGCUGCAUGGUGGGGGUUGGAAAGCUUCGGCGGUUCUGGAUGGAAUCGCUGGUUAUCAGCUUGUUGGUGGGGUAGUGGCUUACGAAGGCUUUGACGGGAAGCCGGCCGGGGAGGGCGACCGGCCACAAUGGGACUGAGACACGGGCCAGGCUGCUACGGGGGGCAGCAGAGGGGAAUAUUGCACAAUGGGCGGCAGCCUGGUGCAGGAACGCCGCGGGCGGGAUGAGGGCCUUCGGGUUGUAAACCGGUUUCAGCAGGGGCUGAGCUUGUGGUGACGGUACCUGCAGAAGAAGCACCGGCUAACUACGUG
rnacentral:rRNA from 1 species